UGUGGAUGUCUUUCUGUAUGCUGUGAAUAUGUGUUGCUGUGAUUGGUUGAUAAAUAAAGCUGUUUGGCCUAUGGCAAGGCAGCUUAGAGGCAGGCGGGAAAUUCAAAGAGAUAGACAGGAAGAGAAAGGACAGCAAGGAGGACGCUGCUAGAUGCUACCAGGAGAAGCAAGAUAUAAAAGUACCAGUAAGUCACAAGCCAUGUGGCAAAGUAUAGAUUUCUAGAAAUGGGUUAGUUUAAGGUCUAAGAGCUAGCUAGUGAGUAUCCUGAGCCAUUAGGCCAUAUCAUUUGUAAAUAAUAUAAGCCUCUGUGUGUUUAUUUGGGUCUGAGCAGGACACAGGAAAAACUUCAACUACAGGAAAGCCUUUAACCUCCCCUCCCUCAGGCAUAUGGAGCUCUGGGAAUACAUCUCUAAAGGCCAACUUCCUGCUCUCCACAUACUCAGUUGAGAUUAAUUAUAAAAGAUGCAUCAUUACAAAUUUCAGGGACGACGGGCUGAGGAACUGGGACUUUUAUUUUAGUAGAUGUCGAAGACUGGACAGCCACGAGGCUGUUUUUCCUGCUGGCUAUCUGCUUUCAAAAUAAAAAGAAAUCAGUAUGUAAAA